rnacentral:rRNA from 1 species
AGAGUUUGAUCCUGGCUCAGGAUGAACGCUAGCUACAGGCUUAACACAUGCAAGUCGAGGGGCAGCAGAUCGAUAGCUUGCUAUUGAUGCUGGCGACCGGCGCACGGGUGAGUAACGCGUAUCCAACCUUCCCCUUAGUAGGGGAUAGCCCGGCGAAAGUCGGAUUAAUACCCUAUGUUAUCCGAAGAGGACAUCUGAAUUGGAUCAAAGGUUUACCGCUAAGGGAUGGGGAUGCGUCUGAUUAGGUAGUCGGCGGGGUAACGGCCCACCGAGCCGUCGAUCAGUAGGGGUUCUGAGAGGAAGGUCCCCCACAUUGGAACUGAGACACGGUCCAAACUCCUACGGGAGGCAGCAGUGAGGAAUAUUGGUCAAUGGGCGAGAGCCUGAACCAGCCAAGUAGCGUGCAGGAUGACGGCCCUAUGGGUUGUAAACUGCUUUUAUCGGGGGAUAAAGUCACCCACGUGUGGGUGUUUGCAGGUACCCGAUGAAUAAGGACCGGCUAAUUCCGUGCCAGCAGCCGCGGUAAUACGGAAGGUCCGGGCGUUAUCCGGAUUUAUUGGGUUUAAAGGGAGCGCAGGCGGGCUUUUAAGCGUGACGUGAAAUGUGGAUGCUCAACAUCUGAACUGCGUCGCGAACUGGAGGCCUUGAGUGAGUACGACGUGCACGGAAUUCGUGGUGUAGCGGUGAAAUGCUUAGAUAUCACGAAGAACUCCGAUUGCGAAGGCAGUGCACGAGUCCUUUACUGACGCUAAAGCUCGAAAGUGCGGGUAUCGAACAGGAUUAGAUACCCUGGUAGUCCGCACGGUAAACGAUGGAUGCCCGCUGUUGGCGACACACUGUCAGCGGCCAAGCGAAAGCGUUAAGCAUCCCACCUGGGGAGUACGCCGGCAACGGUGAAACUCAAAGGAAUUGACGGGGGCCCGCACAAGCGGAGGAACAUGUGGUUUAAUUCGAUGAUACGCGAGGAACCUUACCCGGGCUCGAACGGCAAACGAACGAUACAGAGAUGUAGAGGCCCUUCGGGGCGUUUGUCGAGGUGCUGCAUGGUUGUCGUCAGCUCGUGUCGUGAGAUGUUGGCUCAAGUGCCAUAACGAGCGCAACCCUUGCCGCCAGUUACCAUCAAGUGAUGUUGGGGACUCUGGCGGGACUGCCACCGUAAGGUGUGAGGAAGGCGGGGAUGACGUCAAAUCAGCACGGCCCUUACGUCCGGGGCGACACACGUGUUACAAUGACGCCUACAGGGGGAAGCCACCCGGCGACGGGGAGCAGAUCUCGAAAAGGCGCCUCAGUUCGGACUGGAGUCUGCAACCCGACUCCACGAAGCUGGAUUCGCUAGUAAUCGCGCAUCAGCCAUGGCGCGGUGAAUACGUUCCCGGGCCUUGUACACACCGCCCGUCAAGCCAUGAAAGCCGGGGGCGCCUGAAGUCCGCGACCGCAAGGAGCGGCCUAGGGCGAAACUGGUAAUUGGGGCUAAGUCGUAACAAGGUAACC